CCAAAUCAAUGCCCGCUUCAUCGGCCUCCGCCCCGCCGGCCGCCGACACGACUACACGUGGAUCCAGUCCCUCGGCAUCCUCUUCGGCAAGCACACCGUCACCGUCUCCGCCACCCCCGCUGCCGCCUGGGACCGCAGCGCCGACCACCUCUCCUUCACCUUCGACGGCGAGCCCUUCGACCUCGGCAUCGGCCACCUCUCCUCCUGGUCCUCGCCUGCCGCGGGCGACCUCCUCGUGGAGCGCACCGCCUCCGUCAACAGCGUGAUCGUGGUCCUCCCCGGGUCGUUCGAGAUCAGGGCGACGGUCGUCCCCGUGACAAAAGAGGACGACAGGAUCCACAAGUACAACGUUCCCGCCGACGACUGCUUCGCCCACUUGG
rnacentral:lncRNA from 1 species